GUCCUCAAUGAUUUUGCACUGGGGACAUAAUAGAAUGCUUUUAUGUUUUGCCUCAAAACGUGUAAGGACAAUUUCCUCGGGUUCCACUCACGUUGUUUUUAACAAAGUGGCUCACUCUGGCCCAAUAAACAAUGGAAUUCUUCCAAACUGGUGAAAAGCGGAUGGCAGUGGGUCAAAGGCAUCAGAGAUGAAGCCGAUGGUGAAAAUAGGCGGAAGAAGUAGGUGGGCACUCGACCACCCUUGAUACCACUGAGCAUGCCCAAAGGGACAUUAGCGCAUAUCCCUGUGACCUUGAAGAAGAAUGAAUAUGUACAGCAGCGUACUACAGAUUUGAACUUAACUGUUCCAAUGCAGAACCUGAACUCUGAGAGGGCACGCUUGCUUGUCAGGUCACCCGGUGCCUAUCAUGGGGAAUAAAGGAAUGCCGCUUUCUAACACCACACUGGAGUUAGAGAGUUUUCUUCCUGGAUUUCAGAUGACCAUUUUUGGUGCCCAACGUGGGACAGUGCAACUGAGAUCUCGUGGACCGAAGGACUGGAGAGGACCUCCAUUCAGCACACACACACAGAGUGAUUCUUGGGGAGCUCCCCCCGAUCCCGGCUCCAUCGGGACCAGCCGCGAGUUCCCUGCCAUACGGGAAAGUCCUAUCUUCUGUCCACAGGUUUGUGGCGCAGGCAGCACCAACACCUCUGGAAGUCACAGUACUUCCAUUCCAACUCCACGAGUGAAUGUAUCUACAGACCUGGAGCUCUGAAUCACUACAGGAGAAGCGGAAAGGACCAUCUCAAAUCCUACUGACAACGCACACUGCUAUCAAGGUGGCAGGAGCAGAAUCUUGAGUUCAUUACACAAGAACAAAAAGUGCCCAGCUCACAGUGGCAAGCAGAACAGACUGCACUGAAGAAACUGAAAUUUCCACUUAAAUGAAUGCAACUUGUGAACAGGGAAACGAGAAAUCACAUUAUGAGCUGAAUGUAGUUAUUGAGAUAAAGUUACCUUUAGAGUAUAUAGUGAUUGUUUGCCUUAUAUUAACUGCAUUAAUUGUUUGCUUAUAUUAAUUGUUUGGAAAAAAAACCAACAAAACCUCUUUUGCAGUACUUAAGGGAUAUAUAUUCUGUUUGCCUAAGAUGAUAACAAUAAUUUUAGUAAUGCUUAUCAACUGAAUGCAUGGGAUCAAAAUAAGCACAUGAAAUUGAUGGAAAAGGUGUUGGAUAUGCUCAGAAUUGCCAAAAUAGGAGGCAAGUCCAUACCCGUUACGGGGAUUAUCACUACCAAGACAGAGUUGGGAUACAGGAUUUGUUAACAAAUCCAUAGAGUACUUUGCAGAUAAAUAUACAGACUAUUGUAGGGACCCAGCCUAUGAAUGAUACCACUUGUCUGAUGGACGUAGGGACUAGUCAGGUAGGGAGGGCUCCACUAGGAAAAUCCCCGCACUGUAAAUGGACAGUACAAAUGACAAAUACUUUGGAAAAAAAAAAACAGGGAUAACUAUUCCACUCUGCUGGGUG
rnacentral:lncRNA from 1 species